rnacentral:rRNA from 1 species
UACGGAGGGUGCGAGCGUUGUUCGGAAUCACUGGGCGUAAAGCGCGUGUAGGCGGCCCACUAAGUCUGAUGUGAAAGCCCGGGGCUCACCCCCGGAAGUGCAUUGGAAACUGGUGGACUCGAGUCCCGGAGAGGAGAGUGGAAUUCCUGGUGUAGCGGUGAAAUGCGUAGAUAUCUGGAGGAACACCGGUGGCGAAGGCGGCAUCCUGGACCGGUAUUGACGCUGAGGCGCGAAAGCUAGGGGAGCAAACGGG